rnacentral:rRNA from 1 species
CAGGGUGUAAACGCUGCAGACUUGGUGUUGGGAACCCUUCGGGGGUGUCCAGUGCCGGAGAGAAGUUGUUAAGUCUGCUACUUGGGGAGUACGUCCGCAAGGAUGAAACUUAAAGGAAUUGGCGGGGGAGCACCGCAACGGGAGGAGCGUGCGGUUUAAUUGGAUUCAACACCGGAAAACUCACCAGUGAAGACUGUUACAUGAAAGCCAGGCUGAUGACCUUGCUAGAUUUUCAGAGAGGUGG